CACAGUUCAGAGAGAUCAGACACAUACCAUAUACACAACAGCUUGUUGUGGAAUACUACCAACACUGGACUACCGGCACCACUGACGUUUGAGAUAUAUUUUUCAGGUAGUUCAGACACAAACCACGACAGAUUAGGGACCGAUCAUUAUUUAUGGUUGGGUGUGGCACCGAACUGAAAAGGGUUGGGUAAACAAAAUUUUGAGUGAGUAAAAGGUUGGAUAAAUGAAAAACAAAACAACUCAAGGGUUGGGUAAUAAAAUUUUAUUGUCAUUUCCAAAGCAUAACUCACUGAAAUAUUGGAGACUAAAAAGCAAUGUCAACAGUCAUAUGUCAAUACAAUAUGUGAAUCAAUCAGAGUCACUAUCUUGAUCAUUUUCCGCUUUGUUGGGAGAAAAGUAGUGUCUCCAAAGAAAGUACAUGUGCAGACAACGUGAAACUUUAGACUGUAGAAAAUUUCACAAUCCGUUAUCAAACUCAUGUCACAGAAGUGGUAAGGGACUAGUGUGACAACUGAAUGGUAUCUUUUUGUAAUGUUUUUGUCCAGGGGUGGGUAUUUCUUUUUUAAUUGAUAUUUGAGGUUGGGUAAUCAAAUAUUUUACUUUUUAAUGGUUGGGUCAGCAAAAUGUUUGCCACG